GCUCCGGUAACCUAGUGGUUAGAGCGUCCGCCUCGGAUGCGGGAUGUCGUGGGUUCGAUACCCGGUCGAGUCA